rnacentral:tRNA from 1 species
GUUUUAGAAGCUGAGUUUUAGCGUUGGAUUUUUACUCCAAAGGAAGGGGGUUCUCCUAAAAUG